GGAUUCCCCUAGUAACUGCGAGUGAAGCGGGAAAAGCUCAAAUUUAAAAUCUGGCAGUCUUCGAUUGUCCGAGUUGUAAUCUGGAGAAGUGCUUUCCGCGCUGGACCGUGUACAAGUCUCUUGGAAUAGAGCGUCAUAGAGGGUGAGAAUCCCGUCUUUGACACGGACUACCGGUGCUUUGUGAUGCGCUUUCAAAGAGUCGAGUUGUUUGGGAAUGCAGCUCAAAAUGGGUGGUAAAUUCCAUCUAAAGCUAAAUAUUGGCGAGAGACCGAUAGCGAACAAGUACCGUGAGGGAAAGAUGAAAAGCACUUUGGAAAGAGAGUUAAACAGUACGUGAAAUUGCUGAAAGGGAAACACUUGAAGUCAGUCGCGUUGUUCAGAACUCAGCCUGGCUUUGGCCUGGUGCAUUUUCUGAAUGACGGGCCAGCAUCAAUUUUGACUGUUGGAUAAAGGUUAGGGAAAUGUGGCUUCUUCGGGAGUGUUAUAGUCCUUGGCUGCAUACGAUGGUUGGGAUUGAGGAACUCAGCAUGCCUUUAUGGUCGGGGUUCGCCCACGUUCAUGCUUAGGAUGCUGGCGUAAUGGCUUUAAAUGACCCGUCUUGAAACACGGACCAAGGAGUCUAACAUGCCUGCAAGUGUUUGGGUGGAAAACCCGAGCGCGCAAUGAAAGUGAAAGUUGGGAUCCCUGUCGUGGGGAGCACCGACGCCCGGACCAGACCUUCUGUGACGGAUCCGCGGUGGAGCAUGUAUGUUGGGACCCGAAAGAUGGUGAACUAUGCCUGAAUAGGGUGAAGCCAGAGGAACUCUGGUGGAGGCUCGUAGCGAUUCUGACGUGCAAAUCGAUCGUCAAAUUUGGGUAUGG
rnacentral:rRNA from 1 species